rnacentral:rRNA from 1 species
GGGGCCCCAGGCGGGUCGCUCCAACCCCUGUGACAUACCACUUGUUGCCUCGGCGGAUCAGCCCGCUCCCGGUAAAACGGGACGGCCCGCCAGAGGACCCCUAAACUCUGUUUCUAUAUGUAACUUCUGAGUAAAACCAUAAAUAAAUCAAAACUUUCAACAACGGAUCUCUUGGUUCUGGCAUCGAUGAAGAACGCAGCAAAAUGCGAUAAGUAAUGUGAAUUGCAGAAUUCAGUGAAUCAUCGAAUCUUUGAACGCACAUUGCGCCCGCCAGUAUUCUGGCGGGCAUGCCUGUUCGAGCGUCAUUUCAACCCUCAAGCACAGCUUGGUGUUGGGACUCGCGUUAAUUCGCGUUCCUCAAAUUGAUUGGCGGUCACGUCGAGCUUCCAUAGCGUAGUAGUAAAACCCUCGUUACUGGUAAUCGUCGCGGCCACGCCGUUAAACCCCAACUUCUGAAUGUUGACCUCGGAUCAGGUAGGAAUACCCGCUGAACAUAAGCAUAUCAAUAAGGCGGAGGA